rnacentral:rRNA from 1 species
GGUUGAUCCUGCCAGCGGUGAUACUUUCCAGUCAAAGAUUAAGCCAUGCAUGUCUAAGCAUAGCUGGCAACAGUGAAGCCGCGAAUAGCUCAUUACAACAGCCGUUGUUUCUUGGAUCUACUCUCUACUUGGAUAACUGUGGUAAUUCUAGAGCUAAUACAUGCAUCAAGACCCGACGCAAGGACGGUCGCAUUUAUUACAACAAAACCAUCCGGUCCUCGGACCGUUCCUUGGUGACUCUGAAUAACUGAGCAAAUCGCACGGUCUCGCACCGGCGAUGUAUCUUUCAAGU